CAGUCGGCGAAGAAAGUGACGGAACCCGUACACGGGUUGGCCUAAAAUGGCUAGAGGAAAAAUAAAGUGAAAAUGUAAUCUGUUGUCCUACUUGUUCAACCGGUUACCUAGAACGAUGGUUAAUGGUGCGUUUUAUGCACUGGAAUGGGUGAAAUUAACUCGACGUUCAGCAUUCUCGAUUCGAUGUGAAUGAAAUUAAAGAUGGCCGAACAAAGAUAGUGUGGAGUGAAAACGCCUAUCCUAAAGUGAUUGAUGGCGUGCUGCCGACUUGCUGAAUUUCAGAACUCGCCCCUUGAAAGAUCUUAGCAGCAGUGGCAUAGCGCUAGUAACACGCCAAUCAUGGGUCGCUGACCUGAGUUUCGGAUGCUUUACUGCAAGCCAGUGCAGUUCUGUCGGUUCGUUGAAAGCAAAAUCAGCAAUCGUUUGCUGCUUCCUCUAAUUUGGUACGUACAGCGGAGUAAUAGUUUCCAUACUGUAAGAGAAAAAUGCUUGCCAAAAAUUUCCUCAAAAUACGCAGUAGGAUUACCCUGUUAAUUCUCAUCAGGAACGGCUAGUUAUUAGUUCUAAACGAAAGGCGCAAUUUAAUCAUCUUGAAGACAAUCACCUCAUGAUUCUGCGUAGGUACCACAACAGAAAGAAUAGAAUUUGAGAUAGGUAACUAUUUUCUAAGAAACCAAAACCACUUUAAUUUAGGUUAAGUUUUAUAAAUUAAUUUUUUAAACAUCAGAGUGAUUCUGCUUAUCUCUUCAAAACUAGGUCGUUUUAGAAUAUUUCCGGAAACAACAACGGCUAAACAGAAGUAAACACGAAAAUGUAGACCACUGAAUCAUUGUAGUUUCUCAAUAUUUUCUAUUUCCUAUUCGUACUAUCCUGGUCAUGGCAUAAAAUGUUGCGCUUGUUGUCAUCGUUUGUAGUUAAGUAAGUAGCAAUUGGGCAUUUGUGAUUAGUUAUUUGUUCGACCGAUUAGAAUGAGAUCUUAGCGAGAAGUGACUGAUCUUGAAAUAGGCAGCUAUUUUUUAAAUAUUCUGAACCAUUGUUUAUCCUUAACAAGAGUUAUUUUCCGUAACUUCCUGCACUGUGUCUGCUGUUUAAAAUUGAUUAUUUUCACAAGUUUUUACUUGCAAAACUCUAAUGUUUCUAUGUCGUAGAUGAACCAAAACCACUUUAAUUUAGGUUAAGUUUUAGAAAUUCUAUCUUUAAUAGCUGAAACCGAUAUCACACUUUCACUUUCUCACUGUUAGGCCCCAGCCAGAAAUGUUCGCGUCCUAGGCCUCAAUUUGCCGUUUUCCGCUGUCACCACAUGAAUAGUUUUAUUUGUCGGUUAAGUCUUAUAGUAUUUCACACGACUGACUGACACCUCGCGCGGUGCGCGGGUCACGAACUCCUAACCACUAUGAACUGACUAAAAAAAACUUUCGCACUCGCGCCUGUUGCGCGUGCGAACACUAAUUACUACUUCGACUUCGAUUUGACCCAAAAGACUUUUAUCAUAUCGUCUGUGUAGACUUUACUCUGAGAGAGUCUCAGACCUAAACAAAACAUUCUUUCCACGCUCGCGAUAGUAAAGACCCCGGUGGAUGAAUCAGUAGUUCAUUAUGACUCAUACUCGGAGGCCUUUACUUUCUACAACAGCGUCGCCGUUUGCUGCUACUGUGUUUGAUUAAACAAAGUGUUUAUGCGUUUCCGUAAGCAUAUGGCUUGGAAAGCGCGAGUGCAUCAAAAUAUCAGCUUAGCUUAAGGCUGUAGCUGGUGAUGUAACCCAGGAAAUUAAGUUCCCUGGUGCACCACUUGGAGAAAUUUGCCAGGGUUGAUGCUGGCCGAACUAUGGGCGCUGCACUCUGUUCAUCUCUUCAAAACUAGGUCGUUUUAGAAUAUUUCUAAAUGGUUUCUCGAAGCUAUCGCGAAACUGGAAACCAUUUAAUCAACCACUGCGGUUUCUCAAUAUUUUCUAUUUCCUAUUCGUAAUAUCCUGGUCAUGGCAUAAAUUGUUGCACUUAAUGUGAUUCAACUUGUGCAAGUUGGUCGUCUUUAGUGUGUCUUACUUACGAGGCAUAAAGACGAUCAAGUCUUGAAUCGUCUAUUUCGAUGUUAUUACUACUAUUUGUUUUCGAAUCAUUUUAAAAUACUACGUAUGACUCUUGCCAUCUUCUAAAUUGAUACGAAGCAAUGCUUCCGAUACGUGAUAUUAUCACUACGGAAUAUUAUUUUUGUGCACAUUUACGCUUGUUUUGCUCGACACUUAUUCGGUUCGAAGGACCAAAUUUUGGCGCUUGACUGGGGUGAUAAAACCACAACCAUGCCAUAAAACACAUUUUCACACUAAUCACAUUCACAAAAGCUACCAACUCAGGUUGAAUUACUGCUUCUCUGUUGUUUUAUUUUCAUGUUUUAAAUUCUUUUUCUUGGUCCUGACAGCCACUGUAAACCGACACUUGAAGGUUACGCUGGAAAUUGGCCUACUGCGAUUUCUUUCAAAUUCUCUUUCGAAUAAUCUGCAAGGGGCAGCCCAAAACGGGAAUGCUUUCGACGCGUGAUAUUAUCACUACGGAAUAUUAUUUUUGUAAACAUUUACACCUGAUUCACUCAACGCAUAUCCGGUUCGAAGGACCAAAUUGUGGGCUUGACAUCGUGCGACGAAGCUACAGUAACAAUUAAGUAAGGGGUAGGUUUGUCGCAAAAGAGAAAAUCUUGUGAAUAGCCGCAUUAUUACUCUGUUAAGAGAUCUUACACGAUAGUUAUAAGUGGGACGCAAGUGAUAUUUUGAUGUACCUCACUCGGGGGUAUGGUUACGAAUGAAUUUUAUUUUUCAUUAAACCUAGGCUAAGGCUGGGUCGCUGCAGUGGCUGAUGUUUACAAACGUAGGUUGGUAUCCACCACAACUCACUUUCGUUUUUAUUGAAAGGAGAACCGUAUUACACCAUGCCGCUCGAACGUUAAACUACGACACACCCAACUCGCACCGAUCCCGGUCGGGCGAUUACUGAUUAUUGUUUGAGCGCUUUCAGCUCGUCACAAAAGAUUUUUUUUGCACAUCUCCGAGAGAAGCCCGAAGAUCGCGAGACCUACAACCCAAAACAUUUCUAUUAUUCUCUUGCGAACGGUCGGUCACUAGUUUUUCACGACCGCCGCCGACAUAACUCAAAAUAAUAAACUAUUGCGUCAUGAAUGAAUUUUCCUAUGGAAUUGCACUUUUCAUACAGCUAGUUUUCCGAAGUAAUUGUGUACUUUUAUUUUAUGUUUUCUUUCUUGUUAUCACAUCUCUUUUCCGUUUGCCAUGAUGUAGUGCUUUGAGUUUACUUUUCAUUUUAUUUACCCAUGAAUUAUUUUAUAAAGACGAUCAAUGGUUUAAAUAACUUUCGAUCUGGAACUGUAUCCAGUUGGGUCGGGCUUAGUCAAGAAUAAACUCAUUUCUUCGUUUAGCUACAAAUACCUUUUUUGACACUUUUGCCGGAGUCGAAUAGUUUUGUCUCAGUAGGCAUGUCCAAGCAUUAGUGCUCCGAUCCCACCAUAAACCGUUUCUUCACUGUCGCUGGCUCAUUAGACAAAUUCCGUCACGGUCGUCAUGUAUUAAUUCCAGUGUGUAUUUAUUUAUUUUAAUCGCUGUAUCACCUUUUACAUUUCUUCCUAUGUUAGUGCUUUAAAUUCUUAACUCUUCCUCAAACUGGCUGUUUUCUGUUGGCCAGUCUAGUGGAUAAACUGAUACUUGAAGGUUGCGCUGGAAAUUAGACUACCACGAUUUCUUUCACAUUAAAUUUCAAUUUUCCUUGCAGCCAAUUCAGCAUUGCUCUCGCUACGUGAUAUUAUCACUACGGAAUAUUAUUUUUGUAAACAUUUACACCUUAUUCGCUUAACGCAUAUCCGGUUCGAAGGACCAAAUGUUGGCGCUUGACUUGGUGCGAUAAAUCCACAUGUCAUAAAACACAAUUGCACACUGACCACAUUCACAAAAACUAUUGUUUUAAAACACUUUUUUUACGGAAACGGUAUAUGUCACAGUGCAAAAAUCCAGUUGAAGGAACAACUACUACGUUUUUGCUUUAAUUUUUUCUACUUCAUUGUUGCCCAGGUUGAAUUGUUUCUUCUUAAUGGACAAAUUCCAACCAUUGGUCUUCCACUAUGAAUUAUGUCUCCAUUUAUUGUUUUAUUUACAUGUAUAUUCUUGUUUUAAAUUCUCGUGCCAACACUAUUUCCUGUCAGCCAGAUUAGCAGAGAAACUGACACUUGAAGGUUACGCUGCCUACUGCGAUUUCUUUCGAAUUCUGUUUCAAUUUCUACUGCGAAAGGCAACCAAAACCGGCAAUGCAUUCGACACGUGAUAUUAUCACUACGGAAUAUUAUUUUUACGAAUAAACUAUACGCAAAUAAAUUCCAUCAUUCAGCCAUGUUUCAGUGAGGACAAUUACGUGCUAUGUACGACUACUAUAAACAACAAAAAUAAUGUAUUUUGUGACAGUAGCAAUUAUCUGCGCUACGAUUGGUCCGUGCUAUUACAGCAUUGCUACCCACGCCCCAAAUCGCAUCAGCGUCUGGUGGGUGAUUCAAAUAAUUUGGUUCAUUCUUGUGUGCGAGCAGCUGAGCUGGGUAAUGUCAGAAACCUAAUCGAAGUGAAGUAAAAUACAGUUUCGGCUGUUAAUACGAUUACUGCAAUGUUUACUAUCCUCUGAAAGGUUUUAUGAAAACCAGCAAUUUCGGUAUUUCUAAUGGAACUACCGAAAUAAUUGUACACGUAUAGCGAAUGGCAAAUUAAUUCUGCUAUUUGCAGGGUUACCGCGUGAGAAUCAGUAUGUUCGAAUAUUUGAAAAUCGAUGUACGAUUGGAAAUAACUGGUUUUCGUAUAACCUUUCAGAAGAUAGUAGAAAUUUUAGCAUCCGUAUCAACAGCCCAAAGUGUAUUCUACUUCACUUCGGUUAUGUCUCUGACAUUACUCGCUCAUCUUUUUUCGAUUCGUCUGUGUUGUAACUUAUCUCACCGAAAAAAUACGUUCGAUCCCUGUCACGGUCGCCAUGUAGGAACGAUUAGUGCAUAUGGAUUCGCUUUAUGUCACAUUUAGUUUUCAUGUGAUGUAUUAACGUUGCUAAUCAACUUAUGCGCAUCAGAAAGUCAUCUGCGCUUAGGGAAAUAAUCAUCCUAGUGCACUUGGAUGACACAUUCGCUAUCCAUUUGCUUAUUUGCUGGCGUCAAUCCAUGUCACGUGGGGUGUCAAUUUGCUUACAAAGCCGACGAAAUAAAUUUCGUCAUCACCUUUUCUCGUACAACCGACCGUAAAUAUCAUUCCGCUCUUUCUAGGCUAUUUAAACUUACUGACAGUUGAUGCGUCUGGGACUUCCUUUUGGGUGACAAACUGUGACCUUGUUUAUUUCCUCUAUGACAUUCGGUGUAAUCAUCGGAAUUCCUGGUCUGGCAGUACGAAUCCGGUCCGAAGGCAAAUAUUCUAAAGAGAUUUCGCUAUAUAUUUCUAUUUACAAUUUGUAUACCAAAACUUCACCGAAUUUGCCGAUCUCUUCAAAACUAGGUCGUUUUAGAGUAUUUCACAAUUUCACAACCUUGUGACAAAUUGAGCUCAAGAAAAAACCAUCAAUACAUUAGAUUAUAGGAAUUAUUUCUCCACAUUAUUGAAGGUUUUGUUUGAUCCUACGAAUCAGCAUCUACUCAUUGUAGUGUUGUUUCUUCUUGUGAUACUGUAAAAAGGAGAAAGGCGCUUCCUUCCUCAGGUUUCUUUGCGGAUUGUUUCACUUCAAUUGAUAUGCGUAAAAAAAAACCACAGCUUCUUUUUUUCUUUCUUGGUCAGAUUUGGCGUUUCCGCCCACUAUUGUGAAUUUCACUCACUAUGUAGCGGUGCUUUUGCCGCUGUCACCAAUCAUUUUCUAACUAUAACUAUCUGAAUUGAGAAUUCGGAACGAUGAAAUAAUGUCCCAGAGCUUAUCGUCUAAGCUCACAAGGGAAGAAGAAAGGGAGACAAAACAGCAAGUUGCAACUUGUUGUCGGGUUGCUGAUAGCUCAAGCAGAGCUGUGACGCUGAGGAGGCGGCAGAAAAUCCAGGUGUGGUCUGGAAGCUUGGACAAUUUUACGACUUGCUUGAUGAACGGAACCAUUAUAUGGGUACUACGAGACCUCUGCAGAGUUGAGUUGUAGACAUUUAUAACCUCUUCUCCUUUGCUUUCUCGAACCUUCGAUGGAAUUCAAUCCAGUGUACGAAAGAGAUAAUACGCAGCCUACCCUCCAGGCGCCUUGAACAGAUUCGGAUUUUGAUCGGAAGAAACCCUCCACCAUUAAAACAGUGCGCGUCCGAGCAAGGGGAGUUGCUUUCUGUAUCGAAGACUGGAAAUCAAUUAUGAACGUGCUGUUGGGUGGACAAAAAGCAGAAGUAAGUUCAGGUUCAGACUGAGGAAUAGAAAACAAUGAUUUGAAUCUUUCUUUUAAUGUGUUCUGAAUGUGCACCGCCAUGUCAUACGGAUGCUUGGUCAUCAAUCGAAGCAUAUUUAGCAUAAUAAAAGCUGUCAUGACGAUUCCAUAGGUUUUCUGCUUUACCUGUUCCUUGAGAGAUUGUGCAUCAAUUUUUAGGUCCAGUUUUUUGUUUAUGUAAAUUCGUGGCUUUCGAAAGUCCAACUUAGUUGUGCGAAGGCGGCGACUUUAUUAAGUUAGGACUUGCCACUAAUUUACGUAUGAUUGUCUUACAAUGAUAAAUCACCGCGAGACUUCUAUGAACCUUUACAAUUAACUAAAUGCGUACAAAUUACCUGAGGAAUGAGUAUGGAACACUAGUUAAUUCUAAUGUUCUCCUGAUUUGUGAGUUGCGUACUCGUUUAGCGCUUAAAUAGUUUAUCAUUUCUAAAUAAGGAAAAACUAAUUUUGAUUUAAAUGAGAUAAGAUAUUGAAUUAUUACAUUGAAUGCUGGUAAUUAUUUCGAUUUCUUACACUAAGCAACCAGAAAGAAUCUGUUACACAACUUCCGUAUACAUCAACCUCAGCGAAUUUGUCAAUCUCUUCAAAACUAGGUCGUUUUAGAAUAUUUACAUCCAAUCAAUUACCCAUCACUGAAAUUUCGGAUAUGUUUUAGAAAUUCGUUUUUUGGUCAACGAAACCAACCGUCUAAAAUUUCGAAGAAAUUCUAUAGUUUAUCCCAGUUGAAGGUAACUGUGUUCGAACCGUGAUAUUAUCACUACGGAAUAUUAUUUUUGGCAGCAGAUACACGGUUUCUUAAAAAGUCGUCAUCAUAUGACCAAAGGUCGCAUGAGUGCGAGAUAAUAAAACCACACACUGUAAGUUCUUUUUAAGUUCUAUUUCUAUUAUUUUUGCGACAACCAAUCAUUGAAAUUUCUCAAUAUUUUCUAUUUCCUAUUCGUAUGCUAAGUGUCACUGAAGCGCGGUACCAGCCUACUGUGACUUCUUCCAAAUUUUGUUUCAAUUUUUUUUUGCGAACCGUUUCAGUUAUUUUUAUGACACAUUUUAUAGAUGAAACCACUGCAGCUUCACAAUAUUACAAUAUGCAUUACAAAUUUACGGAACUGGGGUCUCCCGAAGUCGUCAUCAUAUGACCAAAGGUCGCAUGAGUGCGCCGCGUAGAAAGAUUCAACCACUGAAAUUUCGGAUAUGUUUUAGAAAUUCGGUUUUUGGCCAAAGUAACCAACCGCCGGAAAUUUCGAAGAAGUUUAUCCUAGUCUAAGUCGAAACUGUGUUCGAACCGUGAUAUUAUCACUACGGAAUAUUAUUUUUGUAAACAUUCACACCUGAUUCGCCUCACACUUAUCCGGUUCGAAGGACCAAUUUAUGGCGCUUAGCUGCUGUUUUGAUAUCAAGACCUGACAUUGUUUAUAUAUUCCUUGUUUGGACGUGAGUCUUUGUUUUUUCCCUUUCUUAAGGAUUCGUUAUGAACGUGUCAACUGGAAAACAGACAGAGAAAGAAUGGCCGGAACAGUGAGAAUGAAGAAACGGUGAAGGCUCUCCUUUAUUGGAAAUACUGAGAAAAGAUAUGUCCUCAAGCAGGAAUCGAACCUGCGAUCUCCCAGUCUCUAGUUAGGUGCAUUAACCACUCCGCCAUCAAGGAACUGUGAUGAUGCCAUCACAUGUUCCCAACAGUUUUUUGUGAUCACCGCUCCGCCUCCAAUACCUCCUAAUUGACCCAUCGACCCCCAAUGUCUCCAAUAAGCAGAUCGUCACCUCUCCCUCUCACCGAUCGGACCAAAUCUCUUUCGUUAUCUAUUUUUAGGUCCAGUGGACUGUGCUCAAGGCUUGAGAUAUUUAUUAUCACUGUUUGCCCCAUUUCCUAACUCAGUCGCCACCAGACAGUUGGCAGUGAAAGAGCUAUGGAGGGGCAUGUUGAUGUCUGCCCUCAAAGCCUAUCAGCAGAAGCUAACGACAAAUCCAGCCGUUGAUGGAAUUUUAUAUAUUCCUUGUUUGGACGUGAGUCUUUGUUUUUUCUUUCUUAAGGAUUCUUUAUGAACGUGUCAACUGGAAAACAGAGAAAGAAUGACCGGAACCCAACUAGAGACUGGGAGAUCGCAGGUUCGAUUCCUGCUUGAGUACAUAUCUUUUCUCAGUGUUUUCAAUAAAGGUGAGCUUUCACCGUUUCUUCAUUCUCACUGUUCCGGUCAUUCUUUCUCUGUCUGUUUUCCAGUUGACACGUUCGUAAAGAAUCCUUAAGAAAGGAAAAAACAAAGACUCACGUCCAAACAAGGAAUAUAUGUUUACCUUCUUUCUGGGCAGUAUGGGCAAAGUACUAGCGGUAAUACAAAUUUUCUUCUUGUUGCAUCGUUUAACCAAAUUUUAAAACUUUCUGACUUCUUUGAAAUUUUUGCAGCGCGGUCAAUUUCAUUAAAAUGCUCAACCACGCUCGAGAUUUCUCUUUCGAGUUGGUGGUUAAUUUGAAUAAUUUUCUUCAUCUAGAUUUUUUUAUUGCUACCUAAACCCUGCUUUUUUGUUAGGAUUUGAUUACUAUUACAGUACCUUAUGAACUUUUCGGUCCUUCCAUUUCUCGCCUACGACUCUUCUGUUGCUGCUCCUGGGGCUGAGUCUAGUUUUAAAUUCGCUCGUUGUCUGCUUUUCUCCGCCUCGAAGAAGCUUCAUCCACUUCGUUCGUUCUUUUAGACCGAUUGAUCAAUUUGAAUCGUCGCUGUUAAACCGUAUCUCGUCGUUGGUGCAAAACACUAUCGCUCUUUUAUCGGUCUGACAAUAAUUUCUUCGCGGGAUAAUUCACUCUUUUAUCGGUCUCAAUACGAAAUUAUGGAGUCAGUUCUUUCACAUGAAUAAUUUCAGGGAUAUUCAGCAUGUGCGUGGAUGAAUUUUAUCAAUCUUGAAGACCCUCCCACGGAUUUUAAGAAUCUUCCCCUAUUCGCCAAUAUAAAUUCCUCCAUCCAUUAAUUUGAGGUUCAAAAGCUCUUAGAAUCGAUGAAUUAGGUACCGGUUGAUAGUUGGAAUAUAGGUACAUUCAAUCCCUGCCAAUAUAGUACACAAAUAAAUGUUCUGCCUGAAAUUCUCGCGUUUUUUUUUGUAAAAAAAAUUCACUUUGGGGGAAAAUUCCAGACAAACCGUAGCUCGCCGAGAAUGGAUGUUAAUAGUUCAUGAAAGAGAAAAGUUUUCUCUUUCGUCUUCUGUUGUGAUUUAUAAUCGACGAUUAAUGGUUUGUCCAGAAUUUCCUCUCAAAGUGAACUUUGACAGCAUGCUUAUUGGCCCUUUUCAAAAAAAAAAACACGCGAGAAUUUUUUGUACGUUAGCGCGAUUACCGUGUUCGGCUGCGACACAACCCUAGAGCCAAAUCCGGCGUAUUCACGACCAUAAAUUAUUAUCAAUCAUACCUGUGUAUCAUCCCCGUCUGAAUCCGUAUCGACCGACAUUCUGGUUGACAAGCUCGAAUCUUCCGGUGUUUCUUCAACUCGUUCGUUUGAGCACACUGACUCUACUGUCCUUGAUUGUUGUGUUGCUGCUACUAAUUAUUUAAAAAUUUUACCACUUUCCCGAGGAACUCCAUGUUGACAACGAGCGGUUCAAGAGAAAAAUGAAACGUCAUCAACAUCUCGCAUUACGUGCAAUUCCCCAGUAAAUUUCAACAGACAGCGUGCUUAUAGACACUCAUAGUAAUAGACCAGCGAAGGUACUUUUAUCGAGCCAAACGAACUGUCAAAAUCCGGAGCCAAACGAGCAUGACGUCAUUCAAUGCAAACAAGCAGAACAAGUAUUGCGAUUUUAUUUAAAAAAACAUAUUUUUUUAUUCUUAGUAAGCUUCACUUUUCGUGUACGUAUUAGUAUUUCACAAUGUUAUUUAGAAAGAUAUGUAUUGUGUUUAAUUUAACUACACAAAAAGCAUUUUAAUUAUGCUCUUUUUCAUCAACUUUGUGUUUCUGAAGAAAUUGGAUUUUUUUCUUUCUUUCCUCAAUUUCUUGCUGCUCAGUAUCAAACAUUUAACUUCUCUUUUGAUUCAUAUAUUGAACAACAUGAAAAAUUAUUUUGAUAAAAAGAGAUGAUCGAAUACAGUCGAGCACGCUGGAGCUUGCACAUUUUUGGGUGAUGCCAGUUUAACAUGCUUGUUUUUUUAGUUGCCAGCUUUGCGGUUUUUACAUCCGCGAGUCUAUUACUAUGAGUGUUUAUAAGCGUGCUCAGUUCGCCAUCGGCCGGCGACUGGCGUCGGGAUGUUUCCCCACGUUCUAGCGGGCGGGUAGAAAGACAGAAUAAGGAAAAUGACGGUUCAGUGAAUUUGUUAAAAUUAUUAAUACUAUACUGGAAUCAGAAAUGUUUUAUUCCUUUUCAAAACGCUCUCCAAACUGUCCAAAAAAGUAACAUUAAAUAAUUUAAUAAAAUGCUCUAUGACGGCGAACAAUCGAACAUUUUUUUGAAAUCUUGCCAAUUAAAAUAUUCCUUAAGUUUGGAUUCUAUAUGUUAGUAUAGGACGAAAGUCUGUACCGCAAAUUUGCGAAUUUCAUCUAUCUAUUGAUGAUCUAUUGUAUUGACUCUUUGUCUCGUUCUUCUUUGGGUACUCGGACAUAUAGAAUACUCGUGUGAGGAAGAGUUGUGCAAUGAGUUAUUUGAUCUCGAUCCAAAUGGAUGCCCUUAAACUUUUUCGGUAAAAAAAGACAUACGACUUACAAUUUGCAAAUUGAUUUGGGCAGGAAGAUCACCUAUGAACCGUGAGAUUUUUAUAUAUGGCAUCCUUACAGUUUGUUUUGGUUCGCUCAUUUUGAGUUUUUUUUUGGAAACAGUUCGCCAGAUAUGCACUAGAAAUUCACAGAACUGAAGUCCAUUGAAGUCGUCAUCAUAUGACCAAAGGUCGCAUGAGUGCGCCGCGUAGAAAGAUUCAACCACUGACAUUUCGGAUAUGUUUUAGAAAUUCGUUUUUUGGGUCAAGUCCAUCCAUCCGGUAAAAUUUCGAAGAAAUUCUAUAGUUUAUCCUAGUCUAAGUCGAAACUGUGUUCGAACCGUGAUAUUAUCACUACGGAAUAUUAUUUUUGUAAACAAUCACUCCUCACUCGCUUAACACUUAUCCGGUUCGAAGGACCAAUUUAUGGCGCUUGAUGUCCUUUAUCGAGGGAAAGUGCGGUUGCCAUAAUUUGAACUAUAUCUAACGAUGUUCUAUUUUUAAAGAUGUUAUCACUUUAUACUUAUCUAAACCUCUUUACAAAAAAGGAUAUCCUGGUUUCCUUUCUUAUCGUAUCAACUAAUCCUGUUCCCAAAACAGCUGCUUGUAGGUAUUGAGAUUAAUUUUACUGGAGCUACUCUUGAUGUAGCCGCUACCUUGUUGCCGUCCACUCCUUCCUCAUAUUCAUCUUGUGAUGAAUCUGACAGGCUAUUUUGAUCGCCAGUUUCGCUAUAUGCUCUUGCUCCUUAUGAGCUACCUACCUACCCAUCUACCUCUUAUUAAAUCUGUCUCUUUAUCUUUUAAUUUUAAUACCUUUACGGGAACUUGACCUCCAAACUGUUGUGUCGAGAAGUUAUUUUUCAGUUUCAGUAAUAGUUAUUGAAAAGAUUUAUUCUCCUUGCAUUCUGCCUUAAACUCGAGCAUUAAAUUUUUGUUUUGCGUUUUGCAGACGUAAAAGAAUUUCCUUGCAUUUCCUUCCCGCUCUGCAGGUGCCUUUCUGUAAUCCAGCACACGAUAGAUCGUGGCUUUGUCAUCGGGUUUUAUACCUAGCAGUGCAGUGGCCUUUUCUGUUGUUUGUCUACGCUACCGCCAUUUUUGAAGUUUAAAAAGUUCCGUUUCUGGUUGCAACUUGUAACUGUUUUUUCUUCCCGUCUCAUUUCCGGUUUACCAUUCUCGGAUUUACGCUGACAGGAACUUCGCUACCUCGUUUGGGCACGGUAUGACCUUAGUGGAGACCUUAAUGCUUCCUUCUUAGUUCGGAUAUUUGGAAUUGACGGGAGCUAUCACUAUUACUUUUUAGUUACACUGAAUUACAGCUUGAUUUUUGAGUGCGCCAAGCCAUUUUUUUGUACAAAACCUGGUUUCCAAGCACCGGACACGAUUUAUUAUCUUAUUCUUCUGUAACUGAUUAAUUACGGUCAUCGAAGGUAAUGAGCAAAACAACCCUUAGAAACCUCGCGUGUUUUUUUGUAAACGGCCAAUAAGCAUGCUGUCAAAAUUCACUUUGAGGGGAAAUUCCGGACAAACCGUAGCUCGCCGAGAAUGGAUGUUAACAUUUUAUGAAAGAGAAAAGUUUUCUCUUUCGUCUGCUGUUGUGAUUUAUAAUCGGCACUUAAUGGUUUGUCCAGAAUUUCCUCUUAAAAUAAAUUUUGACAGUAUGCUUAUUGGCCCUUUUCGAAAAACACGCGAGAAAUGAAGUGAACAUUCUGACAGUUUGCGUGCAUUUACCCAGUAAAUUUUCACAUGCUCCGCGAUCCGGUAGCCCUCUAACGGCGAGUAGCGUAAGGAGUUAUCCGCGUUUCAUCGCGGCCGGUUGAAAGUAGUGCAAUGAUAGCAGGUUCCGAUGAUGGUUGUUUCGGAUAGGGUUCUCUUUUGAAUUAGCGGUGUCUUUGCUAUGGGGGAGUACAUGAGUAGGUGUCAGAAUAGAACGUAAGUAAAAGGUGGUCAAAGAGUGCGUUUAAAUAUAUAUAGAAAUGCGACGAAAAACAUCUGCACUUAAUUUAUCUACCAAAAUGUUGAGAAACCUUUUGAUUUAAGUUAGAGCCGAUUUUUCUUUUAGAUUAUUAGACUUCAUGUGAAAUGACUGGGUAUACCAACAGUUUUCGCGAUUGACCUGCUGGGUAGUCAUGGUCGCAAUGAAGCUGGUCUCUUGCUGGUAUUCGAACAUAUAAAGGGUUUCGGCAGUCUCGAUCCUUUAGCUUAUUCGGCUUAACAAGACAUACGGCUUACAAUGUGCAAAUUGAUUUGGGCCGGAAGAAGACCACCAAUGGAUCAUGAGUUUAUUAUGUGCGGAACGACGAGAGACAGAUUCCAGAAUAGCAAGUCCUGGUGUUUUCUCUGGUUUUAUGAGAACUCUUGGAGUUUUGUCACUUUGAAACUUAGUUUAUUCGAAAAAUAUUUACAAAAGAUAUCUUAAAGCUACGUGUCAUAUAUCGUCGCGUGAAAGCUUGUCCCUUUUAGUCUUAAAGUUUGUUCCUAUUCUCCUAUUUUACGGCGUAGAUUUCCUGUGGCUUUAGAAAGGUGCAUUUCCUAUUUGUUUACUUAUAUAUUUGGCCCCUGCCUCUUCAAGACUGACAUAUCUGACCGAAUUACGGAUUUUUGCCUACAAUCCUAGUCUAUUCCCGUGAGAGUUCACAAGUAUGCGGUUACAUUUGUACUUCUCAAUCACGGAUUAGUUCAGAUUUUGUUUACUUUAUAGUCUCGUUUACUUCACUGGAUAGUUCUAGUUUUUUUGAUGGUCACUUGUUGUGUCUUUCAAACUAUUGUGGUCUGUCUAAUCGUGGUGUAAUUUUGCCACAAUCACUGAAAUUUCGCGACCUAUUGUCCACUAGCUCGGUUAACACGUGCUCACUUGGAAAAUCAAACCUUACCGUAACUCAAAUCAGGGUAAACGUUAUGUACUACACAAUAUAGCAUUAAACAGUAUUUACCCAGUAAAACCUGAUGGAAUGCUGACUCGGAAUCGGUUGCAAAAAUUAUUGAUUCAAGCGGUAUAAGUUUUCAGUCACCUAAACAAUUAAAUGUUACGAGUUUAAAGCAUCUUUUUGCGACAGCAGAUACAUCGGAUCUUAGAUUUAUCUCCAAGCACACACUAUAACCACUUUAAUAAAACUGUGUCGAACCGUGAUAUUAUCACUACGGAAUAUUAUUUUUAUUCGUACCAUUUCGUUUCACAGUAACAUACGAGCACAGAUGUUUGCACGCUCUUCAAAACUAGAUUUUGAGUUUUCGAAUAUUGGCCAAAACAGAAACCAACUAUUUUUUCCGGAUAUGUUCUAAAAGUUUGUUAUCACUUUUCGUCGAAGAUUUAACAAGUACAAGCUAUUGUAUAAUAGCACUUUAAAACAGCAGGAAUUAGAGAAACAUCCGGAAUAGUUUCGAUGAGUUAGAGUAAAAUUUCAAUUAAUUUAAAUAAUUAGCUAUUAAGCAAGAGACAAAGAAACUUUAAGCAUUUGAACAGCAGUUAGACAGUGUUCGUUUAUGUAAAAAUGCGCAAGAAUCUAUAAAUAAACGAAUUUUAAGAAAAGCAAAA